AAAGCACGACAAGGUUAAUCCGAGUGAUUUCUGCUAAAGAAAUCUUUUGCAAGUCAUAAAACCACUAGUGAAUAAGGGGUGGGCAAGUUCUGGUGUCAGCCGCCGCGGUAAAACCAGCACCUCAAGUGGUCAGGAGGAUUAUUGGGCCUAAAGCAUCCGUAGCCGGCUCUGUAAGUUUUCGGUUAAAUCCAUGUGCUCAACGCAUGGGCUGCCGAAAAUACUGCAUAGCUAGGGAGUGGGAGAGGUAGACGGUACUCGGUAGGAAGGGGUAAAAUCCUUUGAUCUAUCGAUGACCACCUGUGGCGAAGGCGGUCUACCAGAACACGUUCGACGGUGAGGGAUGAAAGCUGGGGGAGCAAACCGGAUUAGAUACCCGGGUAGUCCCAGCUGUAAACGAUGCAGACUCGAUGAUGCAUUGGCAUAUAGCCAGUGCAGUGUCGCAGGGAAGCCGUUAAGUCUGCCGCCUGGGAAGUACGUACGCAAGUAUGAAACUUAAAGGAAUUGGCGGGGGAGCACCACAAGGGGUGAAGCCUGCGGUUCAAUUGGAGUCAACGCCAGAAAUCUUACCCGGAGAGACAGCAGAAUGAAGGUCAAGCUGAAGACUUUC
rnacentral:rRNA from 1 species